rnacentral:rRNA from 1 species
GACGAACGCUGGCGGCGUGCUUAACACAUGCAAGUCGAACGGAAAGGCCCUGCUUUUGUGGGGUGCUCGAGUGGCGAACGGGUGAGUAACACGUGAGUAACCUGCCCUUGACUUUGGGAUAACUUCAGGAAACUGGGGCUAAUACCGGAUAGGAGCUCCUGCUGCAUGGUGGGGGUUGGAAAGUUUCGGCGGUUGGGGAUGGACGCGCGGCUUAUGAGCUUGUUGGUGGGGUAGUGGCUUACCAAGGCUUUGACGGGUAGCCGGCCUGGGAGGGUGACCGGCCACAUUGGGACUGGGAUACGGCCCAGACUCAUACGGGGGGCAGCAGUGGGGAAUAUUGCACAAUGGGCGGAGGCCGGAUGCAGCAACGCCGCGUGCGGGAUGACGGCCUUCGGGUAGUAAACCGCUUUCGCCUGUGACGAGGCGUGAGUGACGGAAAUGGAGAAAGAAGCACCGGCAAACUACGU